rnacentral:rRNA from 1 species
GGGAGGCAGCAGUGGGGAUAUUGGACAAUGGGCGAAGCCUGAUCCAGCCAUGCCGCGUGUGUGAAGAAGGUCUUCGGAUUGUAAAGCACUUUAAGUUGGGAGGAAGGGCAGUAAGUUUCCUUGCGUUUGACGUACCGACAGAAUAAGCACCGGCUCUCUGUGCCAGCAGCCGCGGUAA